rnacentral:rRNA from 1 species
AGUUUGAUCAUGGCUCAGAUUGAACGCUGGCGGAAUGCUUUACACAUGCAAGUCGAACGGCAGCACGGGAGCUUGCUCCUGGUGGCGAGUGGCGAACGGGUGAGUAAUAUAUCGGAACGUACCCCGUCUGGGGGGAUAACUCUCCGAAAGGAGUGCUAAUACCGCAUACGACCUGAGGGUGAAAGCGGGGGACCUGCAAGGGCCUCGCGCGAUGGGAGCGGCCGAUAUCGGAUUAGCUAGUUGGCGAGGUAAAGGCUCACCAAGGCGAUGAUCCGUAGCGGGUCUGAGAGGACGACCCGCCACACUGGAACUGAGACACGGCCCAGACUCCUACGGGAGGCAGCAGUGGGGAAUUUUGGACAAUGGGCGCAAGCCUGAUCCAGCCAUGCCGCGUGAGUGAAGAAGGCCUUCGGGUUGUAAAGCUCUUUCAGACGGAAAGAAAUCGCGCGCUCUAACAUAGCGCGUGGAUGACGGUACCGUAAGAAGAAGCACCGGCUAACUACGUG